rnacentral:rRNA from 1 species
AUUGAACGCUGGCGGCAGGCCUAACACAUGCAAGUCGAACGCGUGGCAGACGGGUGAGUAAUGUCUGGGAAACUGCCUGGUGGGGGGGGAUAACUAGUGGAAACGGUAGCUAAUACCGCAUACCCUCAGCUGUGCACAGAGGGGAUUGGCGAGUUGGUGGGGUAAUGGCUCACCAAGGCGACGAUCCCUAGCGGGUCUGAGAGGAUGACCAGCAACAGUGGAACUGAGACACGGUCCAGACUCCUACGUGAGGCAGCAGGGGGGAAGAUUGCACAAUGGGCGCAAGCCUGAUGCAGCCAUGCCGCGUGUAUGAAGAAGGCCUUCGGGUUGUAAAGUACUUUCAGCGGGGAGGCGUUACCCGCAGAAGAAGCACCGGCUAACUCCGUGCCAGCAGCCGCGGUAAUUC